GAACCCGCACAAGCGGUGGAGUAUGUUGUUUAAUUCGAGGAUACACGAAGAACCUUACCAGGUCUUGACAUACCAUUGACCUUUCUAGAGAUAGGAAUUUCACUUUCGGGUGACAAUGGAUACAGGUGGUGCAUGGUUGUCGUCAGCUCGUGCCGUGAGGUGUUGGGUUAAGUCCCGCAACGAGCGCAACCCUUAUUGCUAGUUACUAAUAUUAAGUUAAGGACUCUAGUGAGACUGCCAGCGACAAGCUGGAGGAAGGUGGGGAUGACGUCAAAUCAUCAUGCCCUUUAUGACCUGGGCUACAAACGUACUACAAUGGCCAAAUACAAAGAGAAGCGAAGCGGUGACGUGGAGCGAACCUCAUAAAAAUGGUCUCAGUUCGGAUUGGAGUCUGCAACUCGACUCCAUGAAGUCGGAAUCGCUAGUAAUCGCGAGUCAGCAGAUCGCGGUGAAUACGUUCCCGGGUUUU
rnacentral:rRNA from 1 species